AAUGGUUUCGACGGGGGCAAGUUGCUCCUGGGAAGCGAGUCGAAGGGAUCCUGUACCUGCGUUAAAAAACUGGGAACUUAAAUAUAAUUGCAAACGAUAAUUUUGCAUUAGCUGCCUAAUAGUUGCAGCUCGUCAGCCUAAGAGUCCCACGACUUAGGGUCUGGCGUCGACAGUGGGGAACCGAGCCUUACAAAGCUUUGAGUAAGGAACGGAAUUAAUGAAGCUACUGAAUCUAAGAGCCUGUUUAUCAGCGCUUAGAGGAGGGAAUGUAAAAGGAUAAACUGCACUCGGAGAUGCCCAGGGGUUGCUGCUUUCGGACAGGGGUUCGAUUCA
rnacentral:tmRNA from 1 species